UAACGCGUGAGGAACCUGCCUUUCAGAGGGGGACGAACAGUUGGAAACGACUGCUAAUACCGCAUAACGCAUGGGUAUCGCAUGGUAUCUGUGCCAAAGAUUUAUCGCUGAGAGAUGGCCUCGCGUCUGAUUAGCUAGUUGGUGAGGUAACGGCCCACCAAGGCGACGAUCAGUAGCCGGACUGAGAGGUUGGCCGGCCACAUUGGGACUGAGAUACGGCCCAGACUCCUACGGAAGGCAGCAG
rnacentral:rRNA from 1 species